UUCCCUCCAGAGUGGAUCCUGAGUACGGCGGAACACGUGAAAUUCCGUCGGAAUCCGGGAGGACCAUCUCCCAAGGCUAAAUACUCCCUAGUGACCGAUAGUGAACCAGUACCGUGAGGGAAAGGUGAAAAGCACCCCGGAAGGGGAGUGAAACAGUUCCUGAAACCGUGUGCCUACAAGUAGUUAGAGCCCGUUAAUGGGUGAUAGCGUGCCUUUUGUAGAAUGAACCGGCGAGUUACGAUUUGUUGCAAGGUUAAGCGGAAAAAGCGGAGCCGUAGCGAAAGCGAGUCUGAAUAGGGCGCAUAAGUAACAGGUCGUAGACCCGAAACCAGGUGAUCUACCCAUGUCCAGGAUGAAGGUAAGGUAAUACUUACUGGAGGUCCGAACCCACGCACGUUGAAAAGUGCGGGGAUGAGGUGUGGGUAGCGGAGAAAUUCCAAUCGAACUUGGAGAUAGCUGGUUCUCUCCGAAAUAGCUUUAGGGCUAGCCUCGAGGUAAAGAGUCAUGGAGGUAGAGCACUGUUUGGACUAGGGGCCCUUCUCGGGUUACCGAAUUCAGAUAAACUCCGAAUGCCAUGUACUUAUACUCGGGAGUCAGACUGCGAGUGAUAAGAUCCGUAGUCGAAAGGGAAACAGCCCAGACCACCAGUUAAGGUCCCCAAAUAUAUGUUAAGUGGAAAAGGAUGUGGGGUUGCUUAGACAACCAGGAUGUUGGCUUAGAAGCAGCCACCAUUGAAAGAGUGCGUAAUAGCUCACUGGUCGAGUGACCCCGCGCCGAAAAUGUACCGGGGCUAAACAUAUUACCGAAACUGUGGAUGAACCUCUUCGGAGGUUCGUGGUAGGAGAGCGUUCUAAGGGCGGUGAAGUCAGACCGGAAGGACUGGUGGAGCGCUUAGAAGUGAGAAUGCCGGUAUGAGUAGCGAAAGAAGGGUGAGAAUCCCUUCCACCGAAUAUCUAAGGUUUCCUGAGGAAGGCUCGUCCGCUCAGGGUUAGUCGGGACCUAAGCCGAGGCCGAUAGGCGUAGGCGAUGGACAACAGGUAGAGAUUCCUGUACCAGUGCUAAUUGUUUAACCGAUGGGGUGACACAGAAGGAUAGGGAAUCGCACGAAUGGAAAUGUGCGUCCAAGCAGUGAGUGUGAGAAGUAGGCAAAUCCGCUUCUCGCGAAGCAUGAGCUGUGAUGGGGAAGGAAAUUAAGUACGGAAGUUCCUGAUUUCACGCUGUCAAGAAAAGCCUCUAGGAAGAGUAGUACUGCCCGUACCGCAAACCGACACAGGUAGAUGAGGAGAGAAUCCUAAGGUGAGCGAGAGAACUCUCGUUAAGGAACUCGGCAAAAUGACCCCGUAACUUCGGGAGAAGGGGUGCUCUAUUAGGGUGCAAGCCCGAGAGAGCCGCAGUGAAUAGGCCCAGGCGACUGUUUAGCAAAAACACAGGUCUCUGCAAAACCGUAAGGUGACGUAUAGGGGCUGACGCCUGCCCGGUGCUGGAAGGUUAAGAGGAGUGCUUAGCUUCGGCGAAGGUACGAAUUGAAGCCCCAGUAAACGGCGGCCGUAACUAUAACGGUCCUAAGGUAGCGAAAUUCCUUGUCGGGUAAGUUCCGACCCGCACGAAAGGCGCAACGAUCUGGGCACUGUCUCAACGAGAGACUCGGUGAAAUUAUAGUACCUGUGAAGAUGCAGGUUACCCGCGACAGGACGGAAAGACCCCGUGGAGCUUUACUGCAACCUGAUAUGGAAUGUUUGUACCGCUUGUACA
rnacentral:rRNA from 1 species